rnacentral:tRNA from 1 species
GCCCCUGUAGUUUAAUGGAUAGAACAAGGGAUUCCUAAUCCCUCGAUAUAGGUUCGAUUCCUGUCGGGGGCA